rnacentral:rRNA from 1 species
UACGAAGGGGGCUAGCGUUGUUCGGAAUUACUGGGCGUAAAGCGCGCGCAGGCGGUCUUCCAAGUCAGUGGUGAAAGCCCGGAGCUCAACUCCGGAACUGCCAUUGAAACUGUGAGACUUGAGGAUGAGAGAGGUGAGUGGAAUUCCCAGUGUAGAGGUGAAAUUCGUAGAUAUUGGGAAGAACACCGGUGGCGAAGGCGGCUCACUGGCUCAUAUCUGACGCUCAGGCGCGACAGCGUGGGGAGCGAACAGG